GAAGCUUGUAGAGGCUGAGA
rnacentral:snRNA from 1 species